AUUGAACGUUGGCGGCAUGCUUUACACAUGCAAGUCGAACGGCAGCGCGGGCUUCGGCCUGGCGGCGAGUGGCGAACGGGUGAGUAAUACAUCGGAACGUGCCCAGUAGUGGGGGAUAGCUCGGCGAAAGCCGGAUUAAUACCGCAUACGACCUGAGGGUGAAAGCGGGGGAUCUUCGGACCUCGCGCUAUUGGAGCGGCCGAUGGCAGAUUAGCUAGUUGGUGGGGUAAAGGCCUACCAAGGCGACGAUCUGUAGCUGGUCUGAGAGGACGACCAGCCACACUGGGACUGAGACACGGCCCAGACUCCUACGGGAGGCAGCAGUGGGGAAUUUUGGACAAUGGGCGAAAGCCUGAUCCAGCAAUGCCGCGUGUGUGAUGAAGGCCUUCGGGUUGUAAAGCACUUUUGGCAGGAACGAAAAGGACUGUGCCAAUACCACGGUUCGAUGACGGUACCCGCAGAAUAAGCACCGGCUAACUACGUG
rnacentral:rRNA from 1 species